UGGGGAAUUUUGGACAAUGGGGGAAACCCUGAUCCAGCCAUCCCGCGUGUGCGAUGAAGGCCUCGGGUUGUAAAGCACUUUUGGCAGGAAAGAAACGUCAUGGGUUAAUACCCCGUGAAACUGACGGUACCUGCAGAAUAAGCACCGGCUAACUACGUGCCAGCAGCCGCGGUAAUACGUAGGGUGCAAGCGUUAAUCGGAAUUACUGGGCGUAAAGCGUGCGCAGGCGGUUCGGAAAGAAAGAUGUGAAAUCCCAGAGCUCAACUUUGGAACUGCAUUUUUAACUACCGGGCUAGAGUGUGUCAGAGGGAGGUGGAAUUCCGCGUGUAGCAGUGAAAUGCGUAGAUAUGCGGAGGAACACCGAUGGCGAAGGCAGCCUCCUGGGAUAACACUGACGCUCAUGCACGAAAGCGUGGGGAGCAAACAGG
rnacentral:rRNA from 1 species